rnacentral:rRNA from 1 species
UACGAAGGGGGCUAGCGUUGCUCGGAAUCACUGGGCGUAAAGCGCACGUAGGCGGCUCGUUAAGUCAGGGGUGAAAUCCUGGAGCUCAACUCCAGAACUGCCUUUGAUACUGAGGAUCUUGAGUUCGGGAGAGGUGAGUGGAACUGCGAGUGUAGAGGUGAAAUUCGUAGAUAUUCGCAAGAACACCAGUGGCGAAGGCGGCUCACUGGCCCGAUACUGACGCUGAGGCACGAAAGCGUGGGGAGCAAACAGG